rnacentral:lncRNA from 1 species
GUAAGAUUGAGGUCAAUCAUGAUUCUAGCUUGAGUAGGGGAUGAAUAUCCGAUCUCAGUUCCAAAAACGUAAGAACCAAAAACAGCUACAAGGGUGGUAAAUGUGAGAGUAGGAGGUGGUAUAGAAGAAGAAGAAGAAGAAGAAGUAAUCUUUUGUUUGUGUUGUUCGUCGUUGGAAGCAACAUCAUCGGAAGAAUCAUACUGUUGUGAUUGUGAUUCAGCGUUUCCUCUGAAUAGAAGAGGACUUGAAGAAGAAGAAGAAGAAGAUUCGAUGAUUCUUUUACUGUCCAUGAUGAUUAUUGAUUUUUUU